AUUGAACGCUGGCGGCAGGCCCAACACAUGCAAGUCGAACGAGUGGCGGACGGGUGAGUAAUGUCUGGGAAACUGCCCGAUGGAGGGGGAUAACUACUGGAAACGGUAGCUAAUACCGCAUAACAUCGGAGGUGCCCAGAUGGGAUUAGCUAGUAGGUGGGGUAACGGCUCACCUAGGCGACGAUCCCUAGCUGGUCUGAGAGGCUGACCAGCCACACUGGAACGUAGACACGGUCCAGACUCCUACGGUAGGCAGCAGUGGUGAAUAUUGCACAAUGGGAGCAAGCCUGAUGCAGCCAUGCCGCGUGUAUGAAGAAGGCCUUCGGGUUGUAAAGUACUUUCAGCGAGGAGGCGUUACUCGCAGAAGAAGCACCGGCUAACUCCGUGCCAGCAGCCGCGGUAAUUC
rnacentral:rRNA from 1 species